GAUUAUCUGUAUUUAUUGCACGCAUGCCCAUUGGACAGGUUUAUAAAGGAAGCAUUGGCGUGUUAAAAACGACUAAAUCGAAUAUUUCUCUGCGCCAUCAGAAAUUUAGGCCAAUUUACGCGCCAAUGUUAAGAACGAUACCCGUGCAACGUUGAUGAUAUCUGUAAGAAAGAUGCGACUCUGCGCGAUGUCGCAAUUAUUUAACAAUGUUCGUAUCUCGCUUGACGAUUAAAAUCUCGAAGACAUAGCGUCGACGGUACACAGACAAUGUUCUUAACGUUAUUUUU